GCGCUCUAAGUUCAGUUUCGGUAGAACGUGGGUCUCCAAAAACCCCGGAUGUCGUAAGGUUCAAAAUCCUACAGAGCGUG
rfam:Nicotiana attenuata strain TT chromosome 7, whole genome shotgun sequence.